UACCCGCUGAACUUAAGCAUAUCAAUAAGCGGAGGAAAAGAAACCAACAGGGAUUGCCCUAGUAACGGCGAGUGAAGCGGCAAAAGCUCAGAUUUGAAAUCUGAUGUCAGUCUUUGGCGUCCGAGUUGUAAUCUGUAGAGGAGUAUUCGAGUAUAGCUGUGGCUUAAGUUCCUUGGAACAGGGCGUCAGAGAGGGUGAGAACCCCGUAAUUGGCCCUUGUCUUAUGCUCAUGUGAAUCUCCUUCAGCGAGUCGAGUUGUUUGAGAAUGCAGCUCUAAAUGGGUGGUAAAUUCCAUCUAAAGCUAAAUACCUGCAAGAGACCGAUAGCGCACAAGUAGAGUGAUCGAAAGAUGAAAAGAACUCUGAACAGAGAGUUAAAUAGUACGUGAAAUUGUUGAAAGGGAAGCACUUGCUACCAGACGCACUUGCAGCUGAUCAACCUUCAAUUUUUNGGAGGUGCACUUGGUUGUAUGUGGGCCAGCAUCAGUUAUGACGGUGGGAUAAAGACUUGGGGAAUGUGGCUCUCUUCGGGGAGUGUUAUAGCCUCAGGUGUAAUACCGCCAGAUGUGACUGAGGACCGCGCCUUUUUGGUGAGGAUGCUGGCAUAAUGGUCGUAAGUGACCCGUCUUGAAACACGGACCAAGGAGUCUAACAUCUAUGCGAGUGUUUGGGUGUGAAAACCCUUACGCGAAAUGAAAGUGAACGUAGGUGGGAACCGUUAUGGUGCACCAUCGACCGAUCCUGAUGUUUUCGGAUGGAUUUGAGUAGGAGCAUAGCUGUUGGGACCCGAAAGAUGGUGAACUAUGCCUGAAUAGGGUGAAGCCAGAGGAAACUCUGGUGGAGGCUCGCAGCGGUUCUGACGUGCAAAUCGAUCGUCAAAUUUGGGUAUAGGGGCGAAAGACUAAUCGA
rnacentral:rRNA from 1 species